AUGGCGGCCACACAGACGAGGUGUUAUUGCCAGUGGUCAUAAAGAGGGCAUUUUUAUUGACAAUUCCUAACCGAGUCAGACGUCACCUUGCCCUUGUUACACGCCUCGACGCCUUUCCGGGGGGGGCAUUUUUUUUCCUCUUUAAAACACGUUUUCAGCCACCUCAACAUGUUCACGUUGUAGCUGGCGGAGAGCAGUCUACUCGCUAGCCGCAACCCCAAGCCGCCGUCAAGUGGAGAAUGGGAGAAAAGCUGGAGCUCAGGCUCAAAUCGCCGGUUGGAGCAGAAGCCGCUGGCUACCCUUGGCCAUUACCGGUUUACGAUAAACACCACGAUGCUGCCCAUGAAAUCAUCGAGACCAUCCGGUGGGUGUGCGAGGAGAUUCCAGACCUCAAGUUGGCAAUGGAAAACUAUGUGCUCAUCGACUACGACACCAAGAGUUAUGAGAGUAUGCAGAGACUGUGUGACAAAUACAACAGGGCCAUUGACAGCAUUCACCAGCUGUGGAAAGGGACCACCCAGCCCAUGAAGCUGAACAAGCGCCCUUCCAACGGGCUGCUGCGGCACAUCCUCCAGCAAGUGUACAACCACUCGGUUACCGACCCGGAGAAGCUGAACAACUACGAGCCCUUCUCACCUGAGGUGUACGGCGAGACCUCCUUCGACCUGGUGGCGCAGAUCAUCGAUGAGAUGGAAAUGAUGGAAGAUGACACCUUUGUGGACCUCGGCAGUGGUGUGGGUCAGGUAGUGCUACAGGUUGCAGCAGCGACCAACUGCAAACACUACUACGGCGUCGAGAAAGCAGACAUUCCAGCAACCUAUGCAGAGACCAUGGACAAAGAGUUUAAAAAGUGGAUGAAAUGGUAUGGGAAGAAACACGGGGAGUACACUCUGGAAAGAGGAGAUUUUCUGUCUGAAGAAUGGAAAGAAAGGAUCGCCAACACAAGUAUUAUUUUUGUGAAUAAUUUUGCCUUUGGUCCAGAGGUAGAUCACCAGCUGAAGGAACGUUUUGCUAACAUGAAGGAAGGUGGAAAAAUUGUAUCCUCCAAACCAUUUGCACCUUUAAACUUUCGCAUAAACAGCCGAAACUUGAGUGAUAUAGGCACAAUAAUGCGUGUGGUAGAGCUCUCGCCACUGAGGGGCUCAGUGUCCUGGACUGGAAAGCCAGUCUCCUACUACCUGCACACCAUAGACCGCACCAUACUUGAAAACUACUUUGCUAGUCUAAAAAAUCCUAAACUCAGGGAAGAGCAAGAGGCAGCUCGGCGACGUCAGCAGAAAGAUACAAAGGACAGCAAAAGCAAUAGCACCACGCCCACCAAACAUAAGGAACAAAACAAGCAGGACUCCUGUGGGGAGGAGGAAUGCCCCCCGUUGGUGACUGUGGUCAAGCCUCCCGCCAAGCCCCGUCAAACUAAGCUCUUGGCCAAGGGUCGGAAGCUGAACAACAGGAAGAGGGGUCGACCCAAGAAGGCGGCGCCGGCUGUCGACAAGAAGAAGAACCAGAGCGCGUUGGAUUUGCUGCACGCCAAGACCCUUUCAGCAGCACCCCCUCAGGAUGCAUACCUGCAACCACGGAGUCCCUUUUACCAACUACCUCCUAAGGUUCAGCACUAUCCAGCCAAUCAAAUGCUGCUGAGCCCAACCCCUCCUGGUCUGCAACAACUGCUAGAUAACAUCAAAGUUCAAUACCUCCAGUUUAUGGCCUACAUGAAGACUCCUCAGUAUCAAUCCAAUCUGCAGCAGAUUUUAGAGCAGGAGAAGCAAAAACACAUGGAUUUAUCCAUGCAGGCAGAGCAGCUCCAUUCUAUCUGUCAGUCUCACAAGGACAAAAUUAAAGGUCUCUUUCAGACCAAACUGGAUGAGCUGGGAGUGAAAGCUCUCACUGUGGAGGACCUGCUGCAGGCACAGAAGGAGAUAUCUGCCCACAACCAUCAGCUGAAAGAGCAGACCAAACAGCUUGAGAGAGACAUGGCUUUACUGAGAAAUCACAGUGUGCUGUUGCUGAAGUCUCGAUGUGAGGAGCUGAAGUUAGAUUGGGGCUCUUUGAGUCUGGAGAGUCUACUGAAGGAGAAGCUGGCCUUGCGGAGACAGAUCUCUGAGAAGCAGAGACACUGCUUGGAGUUACAGAUUAGCAUAGUAGAGCUGGAGAAAAGUCAAAGGCAGCAGGAGCUGCUUCAGCUCAAAUCUUACAGCCCUCAUGAGGGCUCCCCUUACCGAAAGAACCUGGAAUCCCGUUCCUCUGCUGACAUGGACCCCUCCAAGUUUGGCCUGUCCUCAGUCCCAGCUCUCAAUGGCAUAAGCCCGGAACGCUCCAUAAAUGGCACCCACUCGCCCUCUUUCGACCGUGUGAACACCAAGACGGAGCUUAUUUCACGCUAUCUGCCGAUCUCUCCUGACCACGACACUGGGACGGCUAUGCCUGAGCCUCGACAGAGGCAGCACAUCUCCCACACGCUUCCCGACUACACGCGCUUCUCCCCCGCCAAAAUUGCCUUGCGUAGGCACCUCAACCAGGAACCCACUGCCGCUGGCCACUUGAGAGGCCCUGGGCUGCCCACAAACAGAGGCGAAAUGGGUGGGCUUCACUCACCUCUCGGAGCCAAGCAGAGCAGCCCAUCUCCUAAUGCAUUAGAUGCGCAGAAUACUCAGAAGAGCACUGAGAGGGGUGGAAAGGAGAAGAGUCCAUCUAUUCAGGCAGAUAGCAGUAUCACAAGCCUUCCAAUAAGUAUUCCACUGAGCACUGUUCACCCAAGCAAACUUCCAGUCAGCAUUCCACUGGCCAGCGUGGUGCUUCCCAGUCGGGCUGAGAGACUGAGAAAUACUCCCAGUCCUGUGUCUCAGGCCAGUCAAAUUAAUGGAUAUUCAUCUAGCUCAGGACUCAUGAAUGGAGGUCCCCAUCCAGAGGAACAAAAUGGUGCUUCUUCAUCACCUCCACACACAAACCCGCCUCUGGGGGGACCCAUGAGCAGAGGAGGUCCAAUCCAGAGCCCCCCACUCAGCACUGGAGGGGUUCUUCAUUAUGCAGACGGACCCCCAAGGAUUCUUCCAGAAGACUGCCAGGAACGUCAGGAGGCAGAGUCAGAGACAGAGCCCCAGGACAAUGAACUGCGGAGGAGAAUCUUUUUCUCCUCUUCCUCCUCCUCCUCUUCCUCAUCAGCAGGCAGCGUGGUCACAGGAUCGCGCCUUCAUCAUCACGCUGGCAGCUCGACCAAGCAGGGAUAUCUCAGUAACCACGGAAACCACAACCACCAGUCACCCGGCACGCAGCGCGCUCACACGCCCCCCGCGCACACGUCGUCAUCACAGUCCACACACGGCCUCGCUCCUCAAGAAGGACGUAAGCGGGGUAGGCGGAAGCGCGGCUCUACAGGAGCUGUCGCAGCCUGCGGCUCCCCAAAGAGGAGGUCGUUCCCCGGGAUCAAUGCUAACAACCACUCCUCCGGGUCCCCACUAAACAUUAAUUCCAUGGUGAACAACAUCAACCAGCCUUUGGAGAUCGCCGCCAUCUCCUCGCCGGAGCAGUCAAGCCGCAGCCCCGCUGCACCAGCCCUCGACCAACCUCCAGUUCUGAAGAGGGAGCGCCCCCUGGAAGUCAAUGGCACUGGUCGUUACUCCUCCGCCCCCAGCACUGAUGAUGAGGACUCGGGAUACCCAGCUGACAGCACCAGUUCAAGAAUUGAAAGAAAAAUUGCUACGAUAUCCUUGGAGAGCAGAGAUGGACCCAGUAGACUUGGAGAUAGUGAAAGAGGCCGGAAGUCAGGCAGCAGCAGUGGUAACAGCACAGCAAGUGAGGCCUCCUCCUCAUCAUCAUUAUCCUCGACAAGCAAAUGGAAGUCAACCUUUUCACCCAUUUCUGACCUCAAACAACCCAACUCUGACCAAAGACAAGGGGGCUCGCCGUUUGGAAUGGCAGGGUCAAACUCAGACACUGAUUACAAAAACCACCAACAGCCCAGGAAGGGGAGCGAUGGAGAGAUAUCCACCUACAUGAAUCCCAACCCUUUCCUGAGCCAAGAGGCUGGCAACCGCACCACUGGGAGUGGAGGAGGCCAGGCUGGCAACGGUCCUGACUCCCGCCAGGUUCUACAAAAGCAGAAGGCCAUUCGUGAUUGGGAGCUGAAGACAAGCAGCAGCCAUUCCAGUCAGAAUCUCUUCAUAACUGCUGCUGCCAGCAGCGGUGCGGGCAUUCUGAGCGGAAAAGUCGGUGGCAGCCCUGUCACAGUUUCAACAGGAUCUUCAGUGGGUCAGUACCUGGGCUCUCAGUUCCCACUCGGAGGGACUUCGGUCUUACAGUCGUUGUUCGGGGCCCAGACAGGAAGCUCCGGCGCGAGCGUGAACGCACGACUGGUCAACGGACACUCUGGCCUGGGCAGCUUCUCUAGUGCUGGGCUUGCAGGUGGAGCAGCAGGAGGUACCUUUCUCCACACUGUUCCCUCAGUAUCCUCCCAUCAGUUUGGGGUGGCGCUGCCCACCACCGGAGGCCUCAGCUCUCUGCUCACUCUCUCCUCCCAACCUGCUUCCAUGAGACUAGCCUCCGCGGCCUCACCUCUACCUCCCUCCCUGUUGCAGGCCCAGCAUAGUCGCACCCAGUCAGUGCUACACAGCCCCUCCCCUCCCAUGCUCUCUUUGCCCCCUCCGCCGCCCCUGCACAGCGCCCCCUCCUCCUCCAUCUCGGCAACCACGCCCGCCAACACCUCGCCGACACCCCACUCUUCCCGUCUCUCCCACUCCUCACUCCAUCACCACAGGGUGCAUUCGUCCCAUGCCCUCACUGUCUCCUCCUCUUCUUCCUCUGUCGUUCUCGCUCACACCUCCUCCAUGUCUCGUCCAUACACUGUGCACUACUCUCCACGCUUGCCACCUCCACCUCCCGCCACCAGCUCAGGUGGUGGCGGGAGCAUGCGGAGGACUCAGAGCAUGCAUGGCACCUACACCAACACCACAACUCCACUCCCUGGCUCCCGACCAAGAUAGGUUUUGGGGGGAGGGUGGUGUAAGGGGCAAACAGAGAGAGAGAGAGAGAGAGAGAGAGAGAGAGAGAGAGGCUUGUCGGGAGUUGAUUGUUCUAAAUAAACAAGGUAAUUGCUGAAAACUACCUCAACAUCAAAUAAACUAUGCAAAUGUCAAGGUGUGGACCCAAGGCACUCUGCACCUCACUUACUGGUGCUUUAAUAUAUCUGUACUACCAGACCGCCUCCAAGACCGGCUUCUGUACUGGGGGACGCACGCACACACACACAAACACACGCACACACAGACACUCAGUGCAGUGAUCACCAUGAGCAGAUUUCAAAGGAACCGGUUUAGAUGUCAAUUAUUGUUUCAUACAUCUUUGUAAGACAUUAAGAAAUUAAUUUCCACCUCCAUGACUUAAUGCAACAAGCACACAACUUUCUGUCUCGGAGGAGCCACUUCCUGUUUGACCCAUUCAUUGAUUUCUGCUCAGACGUCACGCUUUUUUUUUUUUCUCUUUCAUUUCAUUUUUUUUCUUACAUCUGACAUAUGAAACAGGAUGAGGAAAUUCAUGUUUUGAUUAAGUUCACACUGGAUAACAACAUAGUUGCGUUUUGUUGCAUUAUGGUUUUGUCUAAUUAGGACCCACCGAUCUUUUCAUUCAAAAGUAACAAAGAAAAAGGUUUUUGUGGAACUAAUCCGUCUGCUUUAUGCUCACAGAGCUCUAGUUUCCUAGCUAACUGGAUCAAAGCACUUCUGUCAUCACACUAACAUAUCAGUGGAGGUUACUGACUUACUGUAUGCCAUCAUACAUUAAAAAGUGUUUACUCCAAUUUUUUCAGCCUAGUUUAGAAAUGUUAAAGGUGUGAACAUGACUUACUAUUCUGCUAUUAAAUGGUGCUCUGUGUUCGUUUGCUCUGGCACUGCUGUCGAGUUAAGUGAAGCUAAAUCCAGGUAGAUAUCAAUAAUAAUAAUGACAGGAAGAAAACGAGACUGCGUGUGUUUCUGUAUUUAUUAUUCAUGUUUUUCCAAGUGGCACUACUUUGAGCCCCCCCUCAAAGCAGGAUGUUUUUUAACCUCUUCUUAAGCUAAACUUUUUAUAUUUAUUUGAGCUGCUGGGCACCAUGGGUGUAUACUGAGGUUUUACAACUCUAAAAAGCGUUAAACAUACACACACAAACCAUCACACACUGGGAAAAUCUUUUUACCAUUCACCACAACAAACUACUGGACUAGUUCACACAUUUUUGUGUUGUCGUUUUUGUCUUUGUACUGUGAAUAUGAUUCAUUCUCUUGACUGUACAGUUGUUAGAUUUAUAUAUUUAUGUCCCCCUAUUUGCCCC